UAGAGGUUUAAGAAACUGGAGCAGUUAAAACACCAGUGACAUAUUAGUCUGUUAUUUUCUUUUAUAAUCAACUCUAAAAUAUUAUCUAUUCUACAUAAAGUAAUUUUGCCCUAUUUUUGUCUUUAUUUUCUUUCCUAAAUGUUACUUUAUAACUAUUUAUACAUAUUUCUACAGACUUUGGAGUCAAAGGAUUUGUGAGGCUUUGGGACAAAUCAUUUCACAUUUCUGAAACUCAGUUUCCUCCUCUGCAAAAUGAAGGAGUUGGACUAGAAAAUCUUUUUCAAUCACUCCCAGCUGUAAAUCUAUGGUCCCAUCGUUUAGAAAGAUAAGGAAAGAAAUGAGAUUCAAGAAAGAUCAAGUCAAUUGCCAGUGUUCACACAGGUAUUUAAGGAUUUGAGAUUCUCCCAUUCAUCGCUGGAUGCUGGAUGCUGGAUUCUUUGAAAUGACAGUGUCCUCCAGCCCUGGGAUCAACAUGGAUUCCUUGGUCCCAGUAUAUCUCUCCAUUCUAAUCUCUGUCUGACUGGAUAAUUUGAGACGAGAGUCCUGUCCAGUCAAUUAUGCUCUCCAAUUAAUAAAAUAUUAA